UACGGAGGGUGCAAGCGUUGCUCGGAUUUAUUGGGCGUAAAGGGUAGGUAGGUGGUCUCAUUUGUCUGGGGUGAAAGCCUUGAGCUUAACUCAAGAGGUGCCCCAGAAACGGUGAGACUGGAGUCCUAGAGAGGGUCGUGGAAUUCCCGGUGUAGCGGUGAAAUUCGUAGAUAUUCGGAAGAACACCAGUGGCGAAGGCGACUUACUGGACACAUAUUGACGCUGAGGUGCGAAAGCGUGGGGAGCAAACAGG
rnacentral:rRNA from 1 species